AACGUAGGUUCCGAGCGUUAUCCGGAUUUACUGGGCGUAAAGCGCGUUCAGGCGGUUUUGCAAGUCGGGCAUGAAAUCUCUCGGCUCAACCGGGAGAGGUUGUCCGAUACUGCUGGACUUGAGGGCAGUAGAGGGUGGUGGAAUUCCGGGUGUAGUGGUGAAAUGCGUAGAUAUCCGGAGGAACACCAGUGGCGAAAGCGGCCACCUGGACUGCACCUGACGCUGACACGCGAAAGCUAGGGGAGCAAACGGG
rnacentral:rRNA from 1 species